AGACAACCCAAGACUGUUAUGGCGGCUCCCUGAUCACCAGGUUUCUUCCAUCUUGUUCCAUUCUCUUCAACACAUGGCUUCUACCUCGUGGCCCAAAAUGGCUGCUCCAGCUCCAAGCUUGGUUCAGCGUUUCAGUCACUGGUCAGGAGGAAAGGAACAGAGAAGGGUACAUUCUAGUUCUUUAAAGUGCUCACUGGCCAGGUGCGGUGGCACAUGCCUGUAAUCUCAGCACUUUCGGAGGCCAAAGUGAGAGGAUCACCAGAGGUCAGGAGUUCGAGACCAGCCUGGACAACACAGUGAAACCCCAUCUGUACUAAAAAUACAAAAAUUAGCCAGGCAUGGUAACACAUACCUGCAGUCCCAGCUACUCAGGAGGCUGAGGCAGGAGAAUCACUUGAACCUGGAAGACGGAGGUUGCAGUGAGCUGAGAUGGCACCACUGCACCCCAGUCCCCAGCAACAAAGCGAGACUCUGUCUCAAAAAGAAAAAAAAAGAAAAAAGAAAAGAAAGAGAAGUGCUCACCACUCUCCCUUACAUCCUGCUGACCAGUCCUCAGACAUGAGUUCACUGUCAGGUAUACUGGGGAAUGAGGCAGAGCAACCAUGGGCCUUGGUAACAUUUGACAUUUUAUUACUGAAGAAUUAGAGAAUGGAUUUUGGAGACAAUCAGCAAUCUCCUCUAUAAGCCGAUGGCUGGCGUUGUGAAAGAUGUUCAGACCCAAGAAGGAUCAGAUCCCAGAACUAAAAAGAAGCUCUAGCAUUUCCCUCCUGUCAUCGAGGAAAUGCUGCUGGAACAACGGCUAAUACUCUAAGCCUCGGCCGGGACGCGGAGAUUGUAGUCUGGCUCUGCCUCUCGCCACUAUCAUGGCCUUGAGAGAGUUACCUAACAUUCCAGAGCUCAGUUUCUCUCAGAUGAGGUUACUUCCUGCUCUACAAUGAUGACUAUAUAUACUUGUCAUGGCAUCAGGCAGUUAAAUAGACAAUGAAUGUAUUUUUUCUUCCUUUCAAUCGUGAACAUUUAAUGUUGUGAAUAAUUAAGAAUACACAUAACUGGCUGGGCGAGGUGGCUCAUGCCUGUAAUCCCAGCACUUUGGGAGGCCGGGCGGGGGUGGAUUACAAGGUCAGGAGAUAGAGACCAUCCUGGCUAACACGGUGAAACCCCAUCUCUACUAAAAAUACAAAAAAAUUAGGAGGGUGUGGUGGCGGGCACCUGUAGUCCCAGCUACUCGGGAGGCUGAGGCAGGAGAAUUGCUUAAAUCUGGAGGUUGCAGUGAGCUGAGAUUGCACCACUUCACUCCAGCCUGGGCAACAAGAGUGAAACUCCAUCUCAAAAAAAAAAAAAAAAAAAAGGAAUAUAGAUAACCAAUUUCUGGCCCCCAGUUAUCCUUUUAACCUUGCAAAACUCCUUCCUUUUGGCUAGAAGUGAAGUCUUUGGCUGGGAGAUCCACUUUAUGUUCCUAUUGAGCUUUGGAAGCAGAAGGUCUGAAGGAACCGACAAAGACCCUCACAGUUGUGAAGUCUCUGUUUAUACCGAGCAGUAGCGGCUGCCUUCGCCCGUCUCAAACUGCGGGGACAGGAAGCAUAUGGAGCCAGUUGAUAAAGAGGGUAUCAGCUGUGAGCACACUAAUCUCGAGGAAAUGGGGAUCCCAAAGGCACCUGGAUUAGCCACAGACCAAAGGAGCCCUCUUACAAUUCCUUUCAGUUGCUAAGACACGCUAUGUUUGAAAGAACACCCCCCAACCACACCCAAGAAAGAAAAACAUAACCUGCAAUUGCUCAAUUCCUUACAGAUAGCCAGCAAACCCUAGCAUCUGGGCCUUAAUAAAGAGCUAAACUGCAAACAGAAAAGCUACUUUGUCUGCUUCUUGCGGCCAGAGAGCGAACCUGUGUGCUAGUUGGUCACCAUGGCUACAAGAUGUGACUUUUCUAGUUCUGUGUGAUAGAGUGGCUGAGCAGGGUGGUGGCAGGAAGAGGACAAAUCAAACAUCCAACUAGGAAAUGGGGCACUGGGUGGCACGUCUCCAUCCCAAGCUGAGCCUUGCUCUUGUUUUGACAGAGACUCCCUGGAGACUGGCCUUGUGACGAGGAGGACAGGUACUCCUGGUUGCAGCAUCUGGGGUACCAUCUUCCCUCUUCCUAGGAUGACUUUCAGCUUCAGGCAGACCAAGCCUGAAUCAAAGGAGAAGGGAUCCAGAAAGUUACGUGAUCUGAUUUUAAAGCAAGGACACAGGAGCCAGUGUGAAGGGGCUACCCCUGGGCAAAUCGGACACAAUUUGAGCACCAAAGUAAUUAAGGACAGCAAUGGGAUGUGAACUAUUGAAAAAUAGGAAUCCCCAGCCUAGGCUAUAUCACUAGACCCCAUCUCUACAAAAAAUUUAAGAAAUUAGCCAGGUGUUGUGGCUCAUGCUUGUAGUCCCAGCUACUUGGGGGGCUGAGGUGGGAGGAUCACUUGAGCCUGGGAGGUCGAGGCUGCAGUGAGCUGUGAUUGUGCCACUGCACUCCAGCCUAGGUGACAGAGGGAGACUCUGUCUCAAAAAAAAAGGGGCAGGGGAAGAAAAAUGGAAAUCUACAUGUGCAUACUGAUAAUAAGUAGAUAAGGAGGAGGUGGGGGGAUCUUGCUUACAGUAGAAUCCUGCAAAGUGCUAACUGGUAAAUGUGCAGGGUGAGCUGGAGUUAGAAAAUCAUCAUUUGCCACCAUCCAAGUGAAAGCUGGCUCAGGCAAGGAUCAUUAAUAGUUGCUAAAUUUAAGUGGAAAUUCUGAUGAGGAGCAGGAUAUUUGCAUGAUUUUUAAAGUACCUAUUCACAGAUUGCUUAUUGGUUACAAGAGAAAAAAUAGUAAUUCUACAGUGGAGAAGUCAAACAACACGUUGAUUGGGUGAUCAAAAUUUAUGUCACCAGUAAGGGGCAGAUGGACCUUGUGUGCUUCCAGAUGUGAUGCUCCAAAAAGGACACAGUAUCACCUAUUUAAUGUGCUGUCCAGGAAUGCAUAACCUGAAUUUAAUGAUGGGAAACAUCAAAAAACCCCAAAUGAGAAAAUUCUAUUUAAAAAUAGAAAAGAGGGGACUAGUAUUCUCCAAAAAUGAUAGUAUUGUAAAAGACAAAGAAAGGCAGUGUAAAAUCUUCCAAAUUAAAGUAGACAACAGUUGCGGCAGCUAAAUACGGUAUGUAACCCUGAUCUUAGACUGUAUUCUAUACUAAAAGGGAAAAAAUGAUAUAUAAGACAUCAUUGGGUCAACCAGAAAAUGAGAAAACAGAUGGUAGGCUAGAUAAAACUACUAUAUCAAUUUUUUUUUUUUUUUAAAUAUAGAGUCUCUCUCUGUUGCCUAGGCUGGAGUGCAGUGGCACGAUCACCGCUCACUCCAACCUCCACCUCCUGGAUUCAAGCGAUUCUCUUGCCUCAGCCUCCCGAGUAGCUAGGAUUAUAGGCAUGUGCCACCACGCCCAGCUAAUUUUUGUAUUUUUAAAAGAGAGGGGAUUUCACCCUGCUAGCCAGGCUGGUCUUGAACUCCUGACCUCAAGUGAUCCACCCGCCUUGGCCUCCCAAAGUGCUGGGAGUACAGGCAUGAGCCACUACACCCGGCCUUAUCAAUGUUACAUUUACUGAGGUUUGUAACUGAACUAUGGUUAUGGAAGAGAAUAUUCUUAAGAAAUACACACUGAAAUGUUUAGGAGUAAAGGGCCGUGAAAUAUUAGUAUUUAGAGAGGAGACAGAGAGAGAGAGCUGGGUAGGUAGAUAAAAGACAUGCAAAAUGCUAACUAUAGGUGGCUAUGGUGUAAGGGAACAGGCUAUUUUUUGUAGUAUUUUUAUUCUUGUAACUUUCUGUAAGUUUAAAUCUUUUCCUAAUAAAAAAUAAUUAAAAAGAAUACAACUCUUAAAGGACACACACAUGCUGCUGUGAUGCACAGACCAUGGAGGGGAAGGGCAGGAACCGGCCACAUGGUCAGGCUGUCAUUUCGGUAUUUCAGGCGAGAGAAGAUGGUGGCUUAGACCAGGACAGUGAUAGGAAAAGGGACACGGGGCAUUUGGGUUCUGGAUAUGUCUUGAAGGUACAGCUAUUAGGAUUUUUUGAUUAAUUCCAUGUGGAGUUGAGAGAAAGGGAAGGGGCAAUGGAGAGCCCCAAGUUUUCUGGCCCGAGCAACUGGAGCCUGGAGUUGUCAGUAACUGGGAUGAAGUGGAGGGAAAUGCAGAUUUGAAGUGGGAGAUUGAGAGUCCGCUUUUGGAUAUGGGCCUGGGUAAGUGGAUUCAGGGAACAUAUUAUUUAAUUUUAAUUAAACUAAAGUGCAUAAAAUGGAUACUUAGCUUUAAAAGAUUUCUACAAAGUAACCACAAAUCAAAGAUAAACUGAAUACUGUAAGUGAAGGUGAAUUUCCAAAAUACUGCAUUUUUGGUUGGUGAGAUUGUAAGAUUGGUGAACAAUACUCUUCUUUGUUUAGAUCUAUGUAUAUUUGUGAGGAGUCUCUUCCUGCGACGACAACCUUACAUUGACAAUUAAAAUAUGCUGAAUUUAAAAUCAGACCUCAGAGUAACUGUAAUACAAGAUGUUAAACCAAUAUUUUAAAAUAUAAUGAAGCAUAUUCAGUCACAUUGUGCUUGUCAAAAAGAGCAAAAUUCUUUUAUUAUAUUGUAUACAAUUGUUAUUAUAUAAAUAAAUAAUUUAAUAUAUUUAUUUCAUCUUUAAUUCAAAAUGGAUAUUCACUAAGAUAUCCUUUUUGGUGUCUGUCCUGUGAGAUGAACAAUAAUUUAGUCAUGUCACUUAACGAUGUGGACAUUUUGUGAGAAAUGCAUUGUUAGGUGAUUUCAUCAUCAUGUGGACAUCAUAAAGUGUACUUACGCAAACCUAAAUGGUAUAGCCUUUGCUCCUAGGCUAUCAACUUGUACAGUAUGUGAUCUUACUGAAUAUUGUAGGCAGUUAUAACACAAUGGUUACACAGUAUAUGGGAUCACAGUAUAUGUGGCCACUUCGCGUUGACUGAAAUGUUUUGUAGCACGUGACUCUAUUUUAUAAAGUCAUAUAUAUGUAUGUAAUCUAUAAAUUUAAAAAAUACAUAAAUAGGGGAGCAUGCUCAAAAUUUGAAUCAGUAAAUGGAGAGAUCAGAAAAGUUUGGAGACCUCUGGGUUAGAAUAUAACACUAAUUCCAGCCAGAUAAGGCAGUUACCUUUGCCAUCAUCUGUUCCCUUCCAGUAAAGGUGUGGUGUGGAUGGAACAGUAUAGAUUCAGACCCAUUGCUAGGGACCCCAGCUCACUGCAUAUGUGUCCAGUGCAUUAAGAGGUUUUGUCUAGGGCAAAUAAGUGAUAAUACAUCAUCUAAUGGAAUAUUCUGCAAAUUCUAAAAAGAAUGGAUCAAUUUGAAUUGAUAUGGAAAGAUGUCUGAGAUACAAUAAGUCAAAAAAGCAAGUGAUAGAACAAUGUACAGUGUCAAAUAGACAAAUCAUACACAUGUGCUGUGUAUUCACAGAAACAGGGGCUACCUGUAGAGAGUGGAGAAGGAAAUUUGUUUUUAAUGUACUGUUUAAUAAAAAAAAACAUAAACAUGUAUUUGUUCAAUAUUUAAAAAGUUUUGAAAUGUUUAUCCUCUUUGAAACUCCUUUUAUGAUGUUAUCCUGGAGAAAUAAAGAUAUAAUAACUAUUUUGUAUUAAGUUGAUCAUUGUGACAUUAUAAUGGUGAAAAAUUAGAAAUAACCUAAACAUCUAGCAUUUAGAGAAUGAUUAAUAUUGGGAAAAUGAACUGUAAUAUAAUGCGGUCUUUUAAAAAUCAAGUUUCUGAAAAUUUCACCAGAUGGAGAAAUACUGACAAUAUGCUAAUUAAAUUCACUAUUAAUCUUGAUGUAAAAUCUGUGUUAAUCUCCAUGAUGUUAAAAAUGCAUAGAAAAAUAAAAAGCCUAGAAGAAAAUAUUCCCAAAUGACAACAGAAGUUGCCUCUGGUAGUGAGAUUACAGGAGAUUCUUUAUUUUCUGAACCUUUGUAUUUUCAUAUUCUUUUCACUUUUUUUCUGCAGUAAGCAUGCAUUAUUUUGUAAUGUGAAAGAAAAAGAAAGUAAAAUACUGAGAAAAUUAUGACGUGCAUUCCUGGCAUGAGUCAGGAGCUGAAUUUUCAUGUUUAAAUUAGUUUCAGAAACACAGGAGUGGUUUCUAGGCAACCUGCUUGGGAAAUUAUGUUCAUUUCCAUUGUUGCUGGAGUGUGCGUGAGUGUCUGAAAGAAAAUGCUCCAAUAUGGCUCAGAAAGGCACUGAGAAAACCUAGCCUUAGCUAGGCUAAGAGCCUAGCUUCUGGCCUGGCUUUUACGUGGUCAGCGGAUGUGCGUCCAUCCCCCUGCACUGGUUCCCCUUGUCCUUUCUGUGGCUCUCCUGGAUUCCUCUCGUUCAGCUCCUUGGUGUACAGAGCCUAUGUCAAUGGCAAUGGUGAGGGAAAUUGCCAGAGCCCUGCCCUCCAGGCCUGUCCUUAUUCAUGGGGAUCUGAGAAGAAGAGAUUAGGACCCAGACAUGCACAGAGGAGACCCUGUAAGGACACAAAGAGAAGACAGCCAUCUGCAAGCCAAGAAGAAAGGCCUUGGGGGAAACCAGCCCUGCCCACACCUUGGUCUGGACUUCCAGCUGAUUCUUGGAUGAGCUGGUCCUUAGGCACGGAGGCAGGACUGUGAGAAAAUAAAUUUCUGUUUUUAAUUCACC
rnacentral:lncRNA from 10 species